rnacentral:rRNA from 1 species
CUGCAGCUCAAGUGGUGACCGCUAUUAUUGGGCCUAAAACGUUCGUAGCCGGCUGAGUAAAUGCUUGGGUAAAUCGUGCCGCUUAACGGUACGAAUUCCGGGUAGACUACUCAGCUUGAGACCGGGAGAAGCUAGAGGUACUCCUGGGGUAGAGGUGAAAUUCUGUAACCCUGGGGGGACCACCAGUGGCGAAGGCGUCUAGCUAGAACGGGUCUGACGGUGAGGAACGAAGCCCUGGGGCGCAAACCGGAUUAGAUACCCGAGUAGUCC